ACCGUACUCCUACGGGAGGCAGCAGUGGGGAAUUUUGGACAAUGGGGGCAACCCUGAUCCAGCAAUGCCGCGUGAGUGAAGAAGGCCUUCGGGUUGUAAAGCUCUUUUGUCAGGGAAGAAACGGUAGUAGCUAAUAUCUAUUACUAAUGACGGUACCUGAAGAAUAAGCACCGGCUAACUACGUGCCAGCAGCCGCGGUAAUACGUAGGGUGCAAGCGUUAAUCGGAAUUACUGGGCGUAAAGCGUGCGCAGGCGGUUGUGUAAGUCAGAUGUGAAAUCCCCGGGCUCAACCUGGGAAUUGCAUUUGAGACUGCACGGGUAGUGUGUGUCAGAGGGGCGUAGAAUUCCACGUGUAGCAGUGAAAUGCGUAGAUAUGUGGAGGAAUACCGAUGGCGAAGGCAGCCCCCUGGGAUAACACUGACGCUCAUGCACGAAAGCGUGGGGAGCAAACAGGAUUAGAAACCCCUGUAGUCCUUGAC
rnacentral:rRNA from 1 species